UCCGAUUAAUCAUAAUUAAUUUAAUUUAGAUUAGGGAUAUACUUUACAUUUAUAAUUUCCUAAGUUUAUAAUCAUCAAAACCGAUUGGACAACCAAUGACGUAUUUAAAGGAACCCUUUUGGGGAUACAACAGAUCUCGAACAUGGUCAAUUGGAAGAAAAAAAACAACAGGGCAAACAGAAUAUUCCAAUCUUUACAAACUCUUAAAAAUACUAAAGAUCUCUAAAAAAACGUUCAUACUGAAAUGAAACAAUAAUAUUUUUUGAAGACCAUGAUAUAGAACUAGAAGAUAUGAAUUCUAAUUCAACAAAGUUAACAUAUUAUGAUGUUUAUAUAUUUUUAGCCUAGUAUCUGAAAGUGUCACAUCUACUACAUGUCAUUUAACUAUAUUCGACAAAAGAUUCUUCAAGAUAUCU